rnacentral:rRNA from 1 species
GACGAACGCUGGCGGCGUGCCCAACACAUGCAAGUCGAGCGGAGAUAAUAGCAAUAUUAUCUUAGCGGCGGACGGGUGAGUAACGCGUGGGUAACCUACCUUUUACAGGGGGAUAACACAGGGAAACUUGUGCUAAUACCGCAUAACAUACCGAUAUGGCAUAAUAAUGGUAUCAAAUGAGCAAUCAGGUAGAAAAUGGACCCGCGUCCGAUUAGCUAGUUGGUAGUGUAAAAGACUGCCAAGGCGACGAUCGGAAGCCGAACUGAGAGGUUGAUCGGCCACAUUGGGACUGAGACACGGCCCAGACUCCUACGGGAGGAAGCAGUGGGGAAUAUUGCGCAAUGGGGGAAACCCUGACGCAGCAACGCCGCGUGAAGGAUGAAGGUUUUCGGAUUGUAAACUUCUUUAGUCGGGGACGAAUAAUGACGGUACCCGAAGAAUAAGCCACGGCUAACUACGUGCCAGCAGCCGCGGUAA